AUAGCAUAGUCAGAGAUACAGAAUUGUUGACAGUAUUUUUUUUUUUCAUUGUUAAUGUUUUGAUUUUUUGUCCUCCAAAAUCCGAUUAUCAGUGUAAAAUGGAAGGUCUAGACAGGACAUUGUUGAGUCUGAUAUUAUGACUUUUUAAUGUGAACAUUGGCAUGAUCCUCGAGCAAAUGUGAAAGAUCACCAUAACCUUGUGUGUAAAGAUGAAUGCGUAUACUAUACAUGUUCAUAUCUUCAAUAGAAAAUAUAUGUUAGAUUCAUG
rnacentral:misc_RNA from 1 species